GAGAGAGACAAGUAGAGAGAGAGAGAUACAGAGAGAGACCGGUGGAGAGAGAGAGCGAUACAGAGAGAGACAGGUAGAGAGAGAGAGAGAGAGAAUGAGAUACAGAGAGGGACAGGUAGAGAGAGAGAUACAGAGGGAGACAGGUAGAGAGAGAGAGAGAGAGAAUGAGAUACAGAGAGGGACAGGUAGAGAGAGAGAGAGAGACAAACAAGUAGAGAGAGAGAGAUACAGAGAGAGACCGGUGGAGAGAGAGAGAGAGAGCGAUACAGAGAGAGACAGGUAGAGAGAGAGAGAGAGAUACAGAGGGAGACAGACAGAUGCAGAGAUACACAGAGAGAUGGACAGAAAGAUAGAUACAGAAAAAGAGAGGCAGGUACUGUAGAUAAAUACAGAGAGAGACCGGUAGAGAGAGAGAGAUAGAGAUAGAGAGAGAGAUACAGGUAGAGACUGAAAGACAGACGGAGGGAGAGAGACCGAGGCCGUGGAUGUCUGAAUUGUCAGUAGGUGAGAAAAGCCGGAUGGUGUACUGCUUCCGGCGGGAUUUUGCAGCGUGCAACCGACGGACACUGGACACUGCACGAGUCAAAAAUCCCACCGGUGCGGACGAGCUCAGGAAAUAAAUGUCGGAGGACAGCGUCGGCUCUUUAAGUAUUAAACCUCGGUUAAACGGGAAUUAUUUAACAAUACCCGAAUACAUCAUCGACUUAUUGAAGGGUUAAAGAAGUAAACGUUAAAAUCUUUUUUGUGAUCUCCAUCA
ensembl:lncRNA